AAUAAAGUGCCUGAAAAAGGGUUACCUUGAUAGGGUAAAUCAUAUACUUUUGUAUCUUUAUUA
rnacentral:tRNA from 1 species